CCAGAGUAAGCCGAGCGCCUAUUGGCUACGCCGCCGCGCUCGCUCGCGUCCAGGCCCCGCCUCCCCGGUGAGGGAGGGGCGGGGCACAGGAAGCGGCGACGCGCCGAGCGGGCGGGCCUGGUGGCGGGGGGUCUGGGCGCGCGCCCCGGGCGCGGUGGGCGGAGCCGGGGCGGGAGGUGGGGGAGGAACCGAAGCCAGGGUUAGAGUAACGGCCCGGGUUGGCACGUGGAGGUUACGUGCAGAGGUUCGGCUCAACCAGGGCUUUGCCUCCCACUCGAGAGGAAUCAAUUUUUGCAAAAAGAUGUGCAAGAUUUCCGAUAAAUAGCAUCCUUGGAUGGAGAAGAGGAACGACUCCCUCGCCCUGACACACACACCCACGCCAGCCCACAGCUCAGAAGAGGCUUUUCUUUCUUAGGCAGCUGCACACUGUUACCAUUCCAGGCUUGUGUGGGAGAAGAUUGUUGUUCACCUGUAUCUGUCCGCCUGGGCGGCUCCAGCCCCUGGUUAAUAAAAGCAUGCAGGCUCUGCAUUAUUGUGGGUGUGAUCAUGCUGCAGAGGUCGCUUCAGUCCUAGGUGGGCUCACCUUUCUCCACUUUGAACACUGUUUAACAUCCUGUGUCUCUUGCCCACUCUUUAUUCAAAAAGAAGGAAAGAAGAAAGAAAACUAAGCUCAGUCUUACCCAGCUUACUCAUCUCACACAGUCAAGCAGGAUAAUG